rnacentral:lncRNA from 1 species
GCAAAGAAGAAGUUCAGUGCACUAGAGAUCUCUCUGAUUGUCCUCUUCAUCAUAGUAACAGCAAUAGCUAUUGCUCUUGUCGCUGUUUUAGCAACCAAGGUGCCAGCUGUGGAAGAAAUAAAAAGUCCAACUCCAACUUCAAAUUCAACUCCAACUUCAACUCCAACUUCAACUUCAAUCCCAACUUCAACUUCAACCCCUAGUCCUGGGAAGUGUCCUCCUGAACAAGGUGAACCUAUCAAUGAGAGAAUUAACUGCAUUCCAGAACAACAUCCAACAAAGGUCUGCCAAAAAUGCUCGGGAUGAUUUUAGAAAUAUAAACAGCAUUUUAUGAAGAUAUUUGCUCAAUAUAGAAUAAUUCCAUAUUAUUAAAGAUCUGAACAUAAACUUCACUUAUGUUCCCAAUACUUUUGUGUAUAAAUUUGUGAUUGAAUUGAUUUUAAUGAGCCUCCUUUCAAUUCCUUUGGUUAUUUCAAAUUAAAAGUUCACUGUCCAUGCAUACUCAACAGGCUAUAUAACAAGCUUUCCUGAAAAUGCUUUCCUGAAAAUGUUAUUGCUGUCUUCUACUCCUCAGUGUUCAGAACCUUAAGUCACACUUACAUGUUUUACAUUGCACUCUUUGUAGUGGGGGGGGGGGGAGUCUAGGAAGAAUUUCUAGACAAUUAUCUAUGACUCACUUUUCUAAACAUAUGUGUAUUUUAUUAUAUGAAAAUAAGUGGAGAAGCCUGUUGGAUUCAUGUAACCAUACAUUGACUCAGACUUUUUAAUUCAUAAAUUUGGUGAAAAC